rnacentral:lncRNA from 1 species
UUAGCCAGCUGCGCUGAGAUAAUUCGGCCGCCCAUAUAAUCUUCCUUCCGGGAUCGACGCGAGCCCGGUAUCGGUUCGUCAUGCUUCAGUGUGUCUCCGGUCGGAGGAGACACGUCGCCCUGGUAUCCAUCCAUGGUUCGAAUCCUGCACGACAUAGAACGACGGAGAACGCGACGAAAAGUUCGGCACGGCUCGAAAUGCUCUCGCAAAACGCGAACCCAAUUUUAGCUGUCACGUAUAGAAUUUGGAAAUUCGCUUCUAUCAGCUAGAUUGAUUAGGUCCAAUACAUGUAUAUUAUUUCCUUGAGUGUACGUUUAUGGCAACGCGAUAAUUUUAUUUGUGCGUUAUAAAUGUCUUUUCCUUUCCGAGACCGUGUACUCGUAGAUAGAAAUGGAAAUUUUAUGUCUAUAUUCAUAUAUCAAAUUAUACGUGACGUAAAGUCAAUUUAAGAAAGAAGUCUACAUAUCACGCUGCAGAAAUAGACAUUCUGCAGUCACUCAUCUAUGAAAAGGCGAGCGGGAGAAUUCCCGUUCAAAAACUAAUUGUCGUGCUUUCCGCCCGGAUGAGAGAAAAAGAAGCCAGCGCGAGAUCGACCGGCCGGGACUCGUCCUCUCGUCUAGGAUUGGUCGACGGAGACCCGUCACUGUGAAUGAAAAAAAAUCGACAUCCGACUGCACGCAUGGCAGCUUAAUUACUGGCCCCAUGCUGGAGUGCGAAAUUGUCAAUUACUAGGAAGACACGCGGACGAGAACCGCCGGACCACAAAUUAACGCGAACGUGCGAUCGUAUUCUGACACUUCGAUCGUUAUUUCCUCCUUGAGACACAUCGCUCCGUGAAAAAAAUCGAUAAUUAUCACGUUAUACGUAAAUUGAAGGAUACGAAAGAUAAUCGUUAGAAUUCCUUAUGCGAGCGACUAAUUUUGUCGACUUGAUGUCGAAACUUAAAUAAAUCUCUCUAUUUGCACGGUAAAAA